AAGGUUCCUUAAUUGUAACGGCGUGCGGUACCAUUUUCUCAUUUGAUAUCAACACAGCGUAAUUCUAUCUGAUCGCACUCAGAUACGUAGUAUUGCACAAUACGUUUGUGACUCAUAGUCGAAGUUGCCGCCCGAAUAAUACCGGGCGUACAAAAACAACCGAUCGAUCGGAAUCCCGCAGUGUCUCGGAAACAACGCGAUUUCAAUUCUACCCUCUCCGGGUUCUCCCUCCCUUCUUCAAUUUAUCUAUAAGUAUUUAUCUAUCAGUACACAUCUCUCUCUCUCUCUCUCUCUCUCUCCCUCCCCCUUUCUUUCCCUCUCUCUACUGUUCCCGCCGUCAUUUACCCGCGCGAUGUGCUCUAAUUAUAGUGCUGACUGUCAGAAAUGCUGGUCGGUAUUAUGAACGAUCUACGGUACCACGAGGUACAGUUACGUUUAAGUUAACCGGCUCGAAACCCGUCGGUUCCUAAUAAAGUGGUGCAAACAAGUAGUACGACCAUGCAGGUCGCCUGGCGAAUCGUAAAAAAAUAUCCAUCGCAAGGUUGUGUAUUUUGGUGCAGGGUUGCGAAAAGACGUACUCCUCGCGUACUCCAAUUUUAAUAUCGGAGUAUGCAUUAAUAUUGAACAUUGAGAAACUCUCAAGUACAGAACAAACGUGAACUUUUAUAAAAUAAUAAACAAGGACUUUUAAAACAUCCUAUACAUAGAUAGGUUCAGCCGCUUGCGUUUUAUGGCGAAUCAACGUACACAAACAAGGGACACAAAUAAAACGUUAAUCUCUCGCUGGGCACAUGAUGACAGAUUUACAAUGUCCGAGAUAAUGGCCCUGAGAGAGAGAGCCCCCAGCUAUAAUUUCCUGUAUCUGCCCUUCGUCAGGCGGAAACAAAAAAAAAUCAUACAUAGCUCGGGAUAAGGAGUACGUAGCCCUUUUUUUAUCAUACUCGCCCUUCUUUCUGGGAUCAAGUAGGAUCGAGAGUUCUAGGAUUAAAGAGGAUCUCCGUACGGAUUGCAGCAUCAACGUCGUCGCGACGCCAGUCGCCACAUGGAAAUUAACGCGCGUAUGCAAAGGCAUAAUGAGGGACUUUUCCACGUGAAGCUAAGCUACCCCCCUCCCUCCUCCCUCCAGUUUAGGGACGUAACGAUACUUCAUGCGAUCUUACUUCGCGUGGAAAGUUGUGCGUCUCUGCAUCAAAUAUUUUAACAAUGAAUUUUAUAGAUGAAAAAUGAAUUUUAUAGAUAUCUUCUUUUCUGUAUACACA